GUUUAAUUAUUCUGUCUUAAAAGGAACAGUUAUUAGUAAGGGUCAUCUUGAGUUUAAGAAAGUUUGUACGGAGUAUUGCAGUGUGCUUCAGCUACCAAAUAGAAGAAAAUCUCUUAAUUAUAUUGCCAGAUUUCAUGGGAUGUGAAAAUUGGACCAUUCAUGUAAUCAGUGUAAUCAGUUUAACUUCUAGCAUCUUCUAUAUUGUUAGCAACAAAUAUCUCCAAAGUAAACUGUUUCUCAAGUGUUCCAUGUGACAUCUCAGCCCAACAAGUUGUCACCUGAUCUCCGUGGGUUUUUAAGUGUUGUAUCUCAGUUCUGUGGAAUACACUGUCCUAGAAACUCUGACUUGGGCUAUAGUUAAUAGCUGCCAAAUGGAAUUUGAGUCUGCAAAUGUUGGAAUACAAUUGAGUAAGCAUUUAUUAAGAUGCAACCUUCAGUUCUGAACUUGUGCAAUUCAUGUCUUUUAAGGGAAGAAAGGACAGUUGGCAAGAACCAGAAUGUAUUUAAUAGGGAAAUUAGAAAAUAUUCCAUAGCGCUUGGUAAAAGAAUCAGUAGAGACAGGGGUAGAUUUAGCAGAGAUACUAAAGUUGUGUGUGGAGAGCAAGUUUCAUAUUUAGGGACAAAUUUUGGAUGGGUGAUACAGCUUAUAUACAGAGACCCAACUUCUUUUUCUUUGGGAAUAUUAUCAGUGUACUUAUGGGACAUAUCAAAACAGGCCAUGUGACUAAUUUAGGCUGUAAAUAUGUCCUUCUUUGGUUCUUAUUCUUUCUGGAACAUUUCAGGGUUUUUUUAAAGUUAUGUAAUUGGAUAGGAAGUUAUGUCAUUGUACUGGUAAAAGGCUAAAACAGGAAGGUCAUGCAUUUCUUUCAAAUCUUUGUAUUUUCAAAAUAGUGUUAUCUGUAUAUUUUAACUGGUUCUAGAGGUUUUGUUUAUGGCAUAAUAUUAAUCCAUAAUGCAAAGUAAUUGGCAAGCACUAAGGCUCCUUCAAAUCAAAGAACCACAGAAUCACAGAAUGGUUGAUGUUGAAAGGCACCCCUGGAGGCCAUCUGGUCCAACCCUUCUGCUCAAGCAGGGAUACUUAGAGCAGGCUAUCCAUAACCAGAGAGGUUUCAAAUAUCUCCAAGGAUGGAGACUCUACAAGCUCUCUGGGCAACUGAAGUUUGUGCUCAGUCACCAUCACAGUAAAAAAAAAAGAAAGUGUUUCCUGAUGUUCAAUGGGAGCCUUCUGUGUGGGCCCAUUGCCCUGGUUGUGUCACUGGGCACCACUGAGAAGAGCCUGACUCCAUACUCUAUGCACCUUCCCUUCAGGUAUUUAUAUCCAUUGAUGAGAUCCCCUCUGAGCCUUCUCUGCUCUGAGCUGAAGGGUCCCAGACCUUGGAGACUUUCCUCAAGGAGAGAUGCUCCAGUCCCUUCAUCACCUUGGUGGCCCAUUGUUGGACUCUCUCCAAAUGAAUGCAGAGGCUGCCAGAGGAAGGUCUAACAGUGACUAAGAAGGAUCUGCGAAGUCCCACCUUUUCGGAGAGGAAGAGAGAGAAGUAGAAUAUAUAUUCAUGCAUGUAGGUCUCUGGAAAAAUGCCUAGUUCAGUGAAUCUGAGUGGAAGUGUCCGUCAACAUCUGAGCUGACCCAGGGCUGCAGUGGCAGAAAGGAAUAAUAAAUUUUGAGAAAUAAUCUUCAGUGGUGAUUUUCUCUGAAGCCAGCUUUUGUUCAGUUGUGUGCUCUGUGUGUCUGCAUCAGAUCCAGAUAUCCAGAUAUUUUUAUAGUGAGUACAGAAAAACAGGCACUUUCAUGAUGCAAUUCAUCUCAUUCUAAGGUAAAUGCUUCUGGUCCUGUCACUGGGCACCACUGAAAAAUGUCUGACCACCUUUUCUUCAUUCCCUCUGUUCAGGUGUUUAUACACAUGUGUGCUAGUUAGAACAGCUAGGACCAGUUCAUCACUGUGUGGGUGUAACCCAAACUGUGUAUUCUAUACCCUCUAUGUCAUUUCCCAGGAACUAUUAACAAUAGAUCAUUUGCAGCAGAUGCCCAGAGCACACUUGACCCCCUGGCUAUAAGCUGGGUGUUAAGAGGCCUGUGAGAUAGGAGGAUAUUCCUGUCCUCACACCCACGACACACAAUCACCCAUUGUGGAACUCCCCGCCCUGGGGGAGGUACUGGGCAUUCCUGCCUGAACCUGAGGGUGUAUAAUCUUGAGGUCUUGGGACUUUUGGUACCACUCGUGGGAUCCAGAGGAGGACCAGAACCUUGACCGGACUGAAACCAUCACUCUCAGCUAGACUGAGACCACCACUCUCACCAACAGGUUUUUCCUCUCCUUUUACUUUUGGACUCAGGGGGACCACGUGGGGCUCCGCGUGGGGGCCAACAAACACCAUUCUGUUUGUGCCCCAGGGUGCCAGGCUAUAAAUCCGGGUUUUGUAGGU